AAAGGAAUAGACGGGGACCCGCACAAGCAGCGGAGCGUGUGGUUUAAUUCGAGGCUACGCGAAGAACCUUACCAGGGUUUGACAUGUCGGUGGUAGAGAUCUGAAAAGUGAUCGACCCUUCGGGGAGCCGUCACAGGUGCUGCAUGGCUGUCGUCAGCUCGUGUCGUGAGAUGUUAGGUUAAGUCCUGUAACGAGCGCAACCCACGUCGUUAGUUAUACGUGUCUAACGAGACUGCCCGUGAUAAGCGGGAGGAAGGUGUGGAUGACGUCAAGUCAGCAUGGCCUUUAUAUCCUGGGCUACACACACGCUACAAUGGCCGGUACAAUGGGCAGCGAAACCGCGAGGUGGAGCCAAUCCUCUAAAGCCGGUCUCAGUUCGGAUUGUAGGCUGCAACUCGCCUGCAUGAAGUCGGAGUUGCUAGUAAAUGCACGUCAGCACAGUGCAUUGAAUACGUUCCCGGGUCUUGUACACACCGCCCGU
rnacentral:rRNA from 1 species